AAAGUCCCCUUCGGGGGAUAAGUAGAGUGGCGUCCGGGUGAGUAACACGUAGGUAAUCUACCUUCGGGUGGGGAAUAACCCAGGGAAACUUGGGCUAAUACCGCAUAAUGCAGCGGCACCACAUGGUGACAGUUGUUAAAGCGGGGGAUCUUCGGAUCUCGCGCCUGAAGAGGAGCCUGCGGCAGAUUAGCUAGUUGGUAAGGUAAUGGCUUACCAAGGCGACGAUCUGUAGCCGGCCUGAGAGGGCGGUCGGCCACACUGACACUGACAUACGGGUCAGACUCCUACGGGAGGCAGCAGUCGGGAAUUUUGGGCAAUGGGCGAAAGCCUGACCCAGCAACGCCGCGUGAAGGAUGAAAUCCCUCGGGAUGUAAACUUCGCAAGAAUGGGAAGAAUUAGUAGGGGUUAAUACCCUCUAUGAUGACGGUACCAUUUGUAAGCUCCGGCUAACUCCGUGCCAGCAGCCGCGGUAAUACGGGGGGAGCAAGCGUUGUUCGGAUUUACUGGGCGUAAAGGGCGCGUAGGCGGUCAGCACAAGUCAGUUGUGAAAUCUCCGGGCUUAACUCGGAAAGGUCAACUGAUACUGUGCGACUAGAGUGCGGAAGGGGCAACUGGAAUUCUCGGUGUAGCGGUGAAAUGCGUAGAUAUCGAGAGGAACACCUGCGGCGAAGGCGGGUUGCUGGGCCGACACUGACGCUGAUGCGCGAAAGCCAGGGGAGCGAACGGGAUUAGAUACCCCGGUAGUCCUGGCCUUAAACGAUGGAUGCUUGGUGUCUGGAGUUUUAUAGUCUCCGGGUGCCGUAGCUAACGCGUUAAGCAUCCCGCCUGGGGAGUACGGUCGCAAGACUG
rnacentral:rRNA from 1 species